GACCCGGUGUCUGGCCAGCCAUAGGCUACACAGGGACCCAGCCUGGUCUAGGGUAAAAGGAUUAGUGGUUCCCACUGGACUGUGUCCAGGAAGUCUGAUUUAGACCCAGGGAGAAAAAUGAAACAAUCAGCUGAGGGAACAGGAGCUGGAAGGACAUCCUGAGGUAGAAGUGGGGGUAACAGCCGUCACAAGGGAACAGCAACGGUGAAGAGGCUGCCUGUCCGCAGAGCUGGGACAAGAGCAGGCACACAGAGAGAGCAUAGAACAGCAUGUGGGGGCCACCAGAAGGCCUUUGAUGAAAGGCAGGAAGGAGCCAUUGGGGAGCUGCCUUUGUUCCCACUGGCCUUCUGAAGGAACUCAGUGAGUUUUUGAUCCCAGUGACCAAAGAAGCUGGACAGCUAUGCAGAGAAGGCAGGGGGCAUGGAGGGCCGCAGGAGUUGUUGGGGGCUGCAGGGGGCAUGGAGGGCAGUAGCAGCCUACCGGGCCUGCACCAGGAACAGGGAGAGGCUCCUGUCUGGAAAGCCAGGGGGAUGCCAAACAGGCAGAGGGGCUGAAGGAAGGAGCAGAAGAGAACGAUCACGCUAUGGAAAAGCAUGAAGAGGACCUGGGGCAAGGCUGAAGAUGUGAUUGGGCCAGCUGGUGACCUGUUGCUGGCCUCAUGCUUCCACAUGAAGAUGCCAGGCUGCAAAACGGAGAAGAAGGAAGCCCAUGCAGAGAUGGCUUCUGAGUGAGAGCUUAGGAGCAGCUGCCCGGGUGCCCGUAGGCGGUCAGAUUUCUAGAUGCACUUCCUGUUCUUGGGUUCCGCAAGACACCCUCUGGCUCUUUUGCAUACAUUUUAAGCAACUACUUCUGAAGUUGGGAAAUCAGGAGUAGCCGCUGACUCUAAAGAGAAACUAUAUCAAUUUGGAAUGUAUUUGCAUUAUCAGUGAGUUUACUGGAAGUAUUAAAGCUGGACCAUCACUUGGAGAUGUUGUAAGGAAAUGUGAACAUUUGGCGAACAGACCUUUAAAUAAAGAAGGAAGCCAUGGGAGUGGCUGAGAUCUCCCUGAGAGAAAGUGGAGAGAUGUUCAGAGGUAACUUCGUUUAGAAACUUUUAUUUAAAAAUCACAUUUAGAAACUAGAAGGUGUGGGGGGACCCAGUAAAGGAGACAGAAAGGGAUUUACCAGAGAGUUGCGGGAGCUACGAUUGUGGUGUCAAAGAACCAAAGGGAGGAGCAAAUGCAAGAUCUCAACCAAUAAGGAAGUGUAAGCGACGAAGGGCAGGCCUUGGGGUGGGUCGACUCAGCAGCUCCACCAUUUUACUGAGAGCCCAGGUGCUUUCUACCUCUCUGCUCUGCUGUGCUUGGCGUUGGCUUCACCUGAGGGUUGAAGGUUCUUUCCUUGGAUGAGAGAUAACUGUGAGUAACUGGCACAGUGGAAGGGAGAGAAAGGACACUUUCCCAGCCAUGGAAUCUGAGCUUCUGUCUUCAGUCUGAUUGGGCUAUUUUAGAUCCUGUGCUCACCCUAGCCCAAAAAGAUUCCCCGGAGAAAUGCCAUUUACUAAUACCCUUCGCCUAUCAGGAACCACCCCUGUGGACCCAGGAACAGGGUCUGUGUCCCUUGAAGCACGUGACAGCAGAGGACGGGAGGCUCCACCUGAACAUGACCAGGGGUCUCCUGGGGAGGAAAAAUGGAGAUGGAAGCUGCAGAGGAAACGAACAGCUGCCCCCACACAUGCCGUACAAGGCCUGCAUGGGAUGAUGUACGUAGAGCUGCAUUUAAUGUAUACUAAAAAUCACUGGGCCGUGUUGCUAACUUCUGUUAGCAGAGAAUGCAGAAAGGCUGUGGGAGCCUUUCAUUGCCAGCUCUACGUGACCCUUCCCCUUAUGAUCAACACCAGACCAGGGAUUUAACUACAAGGCCCUGCCUUACCCAGCUCUUUUUGUCCCCACUUUGCAAAGUUCCUAAAAUGUACCAGAUUUCUUUCUUCUUCAUGGUCUUAUAUGCUGAUCCCUCUGCGGAAAACAGUCUCUGUAUUUGUUGCCUUUUCUUACGUAGGUUUCACUUCAUGUCAUUCCUUAAAGAGCACUUCCCUGUCCUCCUAAACUGAAUUAGGUGCCCCCUCCCUGGCUUGUGUCCCUAUUGGGAUCUAGUUCCAGAUUGUAAUUAUGUUUCUAUUAUGUUCAUGUGUAGCUCUGUGGUAUGGGGGCCACAUUUGUUCUGCUCACUAGUGAAUCCUCAGAGCCUGGCACAUGGCAAUGCUCAAGACAUUUGAUGAAUGAAUUAGCUAUUUCAUGCACUUCUUCGUCUAACUCUCAUGCCUAUUGUCUUUUUUAAGCAUGUGAGACAUCUUUGGAGGUUAUUGAAUGUAAAGAUUUCUACAAAACAGUACCCAUUCCAAAAGAUUAAUGAUGUUUAAUAAACCUAAAUAAUAAGGAAUGCUUGGAAAGCUCAUAAAGUAACAGCAAUGGAACAGGGAGAUUUUUUAAAUCAUAUUUAAGUAAUUUAUUGCUUUGCAUCAGUUACCCUUACACAGAUAAAGCCAAGACUAGAGCAAAUUGGUGAACUAGUUAGUUCAACACUGUCUUUGCCCCAGCCCCUAUCUCACUAGCUAAUUACAUUAGCAGACAUAUAUCAAAUGUUUCCUCUGUGCUGCCCAUUGUGCUGGACUGUGAGAUUUGGCCCUGAUUUCAGUCCGGAUUCUAGUAGGGCUUCCAGCACCUCCUUCUCCCUUUGGGGCUUCCCUCAAUUCCAUUCAACAAAUAUUUAUUGAACUCAUAGUUGGGUGAAAGAAAUGAUGAAUGAGUAAAUCCGUAGCAAUACUUCAUGUUACUACUCACGAUGAUGGCUGUGAGGUGUUAACAAUAUUUUGAAUCAUGCAAGUUUUCAUUAGGGCCAUUCUAUCUAUUAAGGCAAGAACUGAACAAAUACAUCUAAGAAUGGGUUUCUACUAGAAAGAUUGCAACAAAUAAGUUUUUCUGAUUAGCCCUCAGAUAAUUCAAUUAACUUCUAUUACCAGAACGUUCAAGUCUGCUUUGCUAGCCUAUGAGUUUCCAUACAGGAGGGGCUGAAGGGCUGGCAAUCUGUUAGGAAGGCAAGCUGGAGUUUUGUCUUGAAGUCAUGUUUACACAGCAAGUAUGCUGUUUCUGCUUGGAUUCCAUGGCUAUUUGGCAUAGCUAAAGGUGGCUAUUGGAAAUCAUGGGGAAAUUAAAUCUUUGCCCCCUCUCAAUCAUUUAUUGGCGCUACCACUGAUCCUAGCUAACUGAAGCAUAAUUACAUUUUGUUUGUUUGUCAGACUUUCAGACUGCUCAGGCUUCAAAAUCCACAAGAUUUCAAAAAGAAAAUUUCAAAGGGAGAAAGAAGCCAUAGUCUGCUCUGAUAACUUGUUUAUCAAUUUAUUUUUCAAUUUCCCUGUCCUCUUCUCUCAGAGGGAAACAUGAGUGAGAACCUGACUCGCAACCCCUAUGAGAUAGAGAAUAUUUGCCUUUUUUUUUGGUUGAUUGCUGGGCUUGAAAAGAAAAAAAAAGACAGAAAAUAAAAAAGGUUAGAAGUCGGGCAUGAUGGCUUACGCCUAUAAUCCUAACACUUUGGGAGGCCAAGGCAGGCAGAUCACUUGAGCCCAGGAGUUCAAGACCAGUCUGGGUAACAUGGCGAAACUUCGUCUCUACAAAAAAUACAAAAAUUAACCAAGUGCAGUGGUGCAUGCCUGUAGUCCCAGCUACUUGGGAGGCUAAGGCAGGAGGAUCGCUUGAGCCUAGGAUAUUGAGGCCUCAGUGAGCCGUAAUUGAGCCACUGCACUCCAGCCUGGGUGACAGAGCAAGACCCUGUCUCAAAAAAAAAAAAAAAAGAAAAGCCAAGUUAAAAAUCUGUAAACUGAUAAUAUGGAAACAUGUUUACCUACUUUACAGGAAUGUCAUAUCAUCAAAACCAGAGGAAUUUUCUGUGCAAAUACAAAGGAAGUAAUUUAAUAGUU